rnacentral:lncRNA from 1 species
CACGGACCCAUGAUAAACAUUUUCAAGGAGUGGGACUCGAGAUUCGAAUCCGGAUCCUCCAGAGUGGAAGGGUUGGAUUAUUAAACUACAAAAUCACACAAGCGAUUUGGCGGCUUAAUACAAACAUUCGGAAACCAUCAUAGGCUGAGAUAGGGUCAACCGAAAAGUUAGAUGAUGGGAUUUAGGCCCGAACUACACUAUCGAGCAGCCCACGGUUCGAUCUCGGUCCGGUCAUUUUACAACGUGUUCACAUAUCCGUUCACAAGUAAGUCUGAAACCAGCCUCCAGACUGGAAAUAGUCGCUGGUGCACUGUAGAAAUGAUAUUAAAUUUUUCAUCGAAGAACUAUCAAUUAUGGUUAUCCAUGAUGGAGGGGAAAAAUUAAGAAACGAAAAAAGGCAAAAAUAAGGAUUUAAGUACAUCCAAAUUUAAUGCAAAGAAAACUUGAAGGGGAAUAUUACAUCCUGUAUCAUCAUUUAAUAGAUGAUGAUGAUGAUAAAUUUAUAAAAUAUUUUUGAAUG